AAUUAUGAAGCGAUUUCUAGAAGACCCACUUUCCAACCACAAAAGUUGUCUUUUGCCAUUCUCCUUGAUUCUCUCUUCUCUCAGCAAAAUUCAAGGAAGAAAAAUCAUCCCACUCUCACCAUCUGCCCGUCAAAGCUGCUAGGAUAGGCCUAGGGCUUCUUCUUGCAUUGGUCUUCAACCAAGUUACACAGAUUUCUUAUGGGGAAAUCAAAGGGGAAGAAAAGCAAGAGCAGUGAUCCAGGAUGGAAACAUUACCAAAAGAUUGAUGAAGGAAACAUGCGAGUAAGAUCAUUUAGCAGGAACUAGAAAAAAUGUUGAACUAUGUACAAAAUGUUCUGAAGAAAUUCGAAAUUAUUUUUUAAAUUAUCUGGAAAGUCAAAAAACGAAAGAAGAUUAUGAGGAUGAUGGAAAUUUUGUUGAAGAUGAUGUUGGUGAAAUUCCUGGAAAAAGAAAAAGACGAACAAGUGAUUAAUGACAUUA